rnacentral:miRNA from 14 species
AAAUGCCUCCAUGAGAUCCAGCUGUAAGGCAAUUUCUCAAUUAGUGAUCAAGUGGGGAAGGCCCCUUGUGUGUGGUACUAUCCCUGGGCUGGUGGUCUUG